rnacentral:rRNA from 1 species
UACGAGGGGGGCAAGCGUUGUUCGGAAUUAUUGGGCGUAAAGGGUGCGUAGGUGGUGAGGUAAGUCGGAUGUGAAAGCUCGGAGCUCAACUCCGAAAUGGCAUUGGAAACUACCUUGCUCGAGGGUUGGAGGGGGGACUGGAAUGCUUGGUGUAGCAGUGAAAUGCGUAGAUAUCAAGCGGAACACCAGUGGCGAAGGCGAGUCCCUGGACAACUCCUGACACUGAGGCACGAAAGCUAGGGGAGCAAACAGG